rnacentral:rRNA from 1 species
AACGAACGCUGGCGGCAGGCCUAACACAUGCAAGUCGAACGCUGUAGCAAUACAGAGCGGCAGACGGGUGAGUAACGCGUGGGAACCUUCCCAGUGGUGCGGAAUAGCUCAGGGAAACUUGAGGUAAUACCGCAUAAGCCCCUAGGGGGAAAGAUUUAUCGCCAUUGGAUGGGCCCGCGUCGGAUUAGCUAGUUGGUGAGGUAAUGGCUCACCAAGGCAACGAGCCGUAGCUGGUUUGAGAGAAUGACCAGCCACACUGGGACUGAGACACGGCCCAGACUCCUACGGGAGGCAGCAGUGGGGAAUCUUGGACAAUGGGCGCAAGCCUGAUCCAGCCAUGCCGCGUGAGUGACGAAGGCCUUAGGGUUGUAAAGCUCUUUUGCCGGGGACGAUAAUGACGGUACCCGGAGAAUAAGUCCCGGCUAACUUCGUGCCAGCCGCCGCCGUAACAC